ensembl:lncRNA
AUGCACUUUGAAUUAAGCAAGCAUUUAUAUUUACUUUUUGUUUACAUCUGUGGUAUUUUUUUUGUGUCUUUGGUCUUCUGUGCAGCGUUCAUCACCUGCCCCUGUUACUGCUACAUCAUCCUCAUCCUCACCUGUGAGGAAAAGUUCAUCACCUGCCCCUGUUACUGCUACAUCAUUCUCAUCCUCAUCUGUGAGGAAAAGUUCAUCACCUGCCCCUGUUACUGCUACAUCAUUCUCAUCCUCACCUGUGAGGAAAAGUUCAUCACCUGCCCCUGUUACUGCUACAUCAUCCUCAUCCUCACCUGUGAGGCAGCGUUCAUCAUCUGCCCCUGUGACUGCUACAUCAUCCUCAUCCUCACCUGUGAGGAAACGUUCAUCACCUGCCCCUGUGACUGCUACAUCAUCCUCAUCCUCACCUGUGAGGAAACGUUCAUCACCUGCCCCUGUGACUGCUACAUCAUCCUCAUCCUCACCUGUGAGGAAACGUUCAUCACCUGCCCCUGUGACUGCUACAUCAUCCUCAUCCUCACCUGUGAGGCAGCGUUCAUCACCUGCCCCUGUGACUGCUACAUCAUCCUCAUCCUCACCUGUGAGGCAGCAUUCAUCAUCUGCCCCUGUGACUGCUACAUCAUCCUCAUCCUCACCUGUGCGGAAAAGUUCAUCACCUGCUCCUGUGACUGCUACAUCAUCCUCAUCCUCACCUGUGAGGAAAAGUUCAUCACCUGCCCCUGUGACUGCUACAUCAUCCUCAUCCUCACCUGUGAGGCAGCGUUCAUCAAGAAAAAGACAGCAGGAGAGGUUUCAGUCAAGAUUGGUCAAACUACGGGAACAUCAUAACAAUUGCUCCAAGCGCUUCAAUAGAGCAGAAGUUGAAAAAACCAACAGAACAAAAAAGACUGCCAUACUUGAGGAUUGCGUUGUGAGUAAUGUGUAAACAUGAUCAUCACAUUACUUUAACACCUCAGUGUAUUUAAAGGGGUCAUAUUCUGCGUUUUCACUUUUGCAGCUCUAGGUUUUCGUCGGUCGAGAGGGAGCUGCUGUUGUAGUGGAGUAUUGUUGUCAUUGCCCCCCCCCAAAACAAAAGAAAGGAAAACUGCUCUUGACUGAAUCACUUAUUAACUUAAAUAAGAAUCAUCUAUAUUUAAUGUAUAGAGUGAAGAUUAUUUUUACAUUAAUUACUUCAUAAAAAUAUCUGUAGUAGGCUAUUUUUAACCUUUACUUGGCUACUAUCUAAAAGAAAACUAUUUAAUUUGUAUUUGUGAGUAAUAUAUUCAUAUAUCAUUUAGCUUGUAAGUAAUACUUAGUGUUUAAUUGCCUUCAGUAAGCCUGACAGUGUUUUAUUACUAUUUUUUGCUUUUGUGUUAGUGGCAGUUUCUUACUUAAAAAAAAAAAAAAAAAUUAAUAAAAAUUAUUUGGAGGCGGGUGCUUUAUAGAGACCAGAAGAAAUCUGAGGGUUUGGCAGAGCUCAGGAGAUUGGUCCUGCAAUAAUGUAAAUUAUUAGUAGUGUUAUAUAAAAAAAAUUAUAGUCUUAUAUAUAGUCGUGUUUUUACAAUUAAACAUGAAAACCUAUUCUAGAACACCUCCAAAAAAACAAUAUAAAGACUUCACAAAAGGACAUAAUAUGACCCCUCUCAACUGCUAACGGUCAUUAACCAGUUUCCUUUGUCAUUUUAAGCUUUCCACUUAUUUUUCUCUCUUAUGUUUUGAAGGUAUUCGAGUCUUCUGAUGCACCAUGUGCUAUGUGUACCUCUGUAAAGGCAUCACCACCCUCUCGCCCUUCUCCACUCCCCUCAUCAUCAUCAUCAUCAGCUGCCCCUGUGAUGGGCACAUCAUCUUCAUCCUCCCCAUCAUCACCUGCCCCUUUGCCCUGUGAUGCAUCCACUUCUGUGAUCUCUCCAUCACAGGUGUCCCAGAGACUCUCAAUAAGGGAGGUGUGUAAAUAAAAUUAGUAAAGGAUCUCUGGUAACACUUUCUAUGAAGCCUGUAUUUAUAAUACAUUAUAAGGGUAUUCUUAAGGCAUUAUAAUGAAUGCAUAA